UUCUCAUGAAGGCAACUCUGUAAUUUAAGGUGAUUAUAAUAGCAUGAAAAUAUAAAUCCGAAUUACUCUAAACUUUGAAAAUAACUUUGGCUUGUUUUCGUAAUCACCUUAUGAUUUUGGAGUGAAAAAGAGCAGAAAGAUUACUGGUUACAUUUCCCAUCUCAGAUCAUUGGCUAUCUAAUCCGCUGUCUUAUAGGUAGCUACUGACGCAGAAGCAAAAGUUAUUUUAAAAGAUUAAUAAUUUACCCCCAAAAAAGUUUCAAAGAUGGUUCAUUGAUGGUAUCAUCUGGGAUGUGACAGUUCCUCCUUAAAGUGGCUUGCUGUGAUCAAUGUAAGAAAUAAUAAUUUAUAUCCAACCAACGUAAAAGUUAAGGAUCAAACAGAUGUUGCCCUCAGCAUCGAUGGUCUCUAGUAAAUAUUGUGUAGCUAUUAUAAAGUAGUUUUCUCCCAAUUCCAAGUGUACACAAAUACUUUACGGAUGAGCAUUCAGAAAUAAUGCUGCAGUCUGUCCUGAUAUAAAUGUGUCGCUGUGCUCCCUGUUAAGUCCCAAAUGAGUCAGAAAUACUGUAGUAAAUGAAAUACAAAUAUAUAGUUCUGUUCAAAAGGUUUAAUGCUUUCAAAAAUAGACAUUUUAAUUGUUUUUAUGAUUUAACAAAAUGCAAAGUGAGUGACCAGAAGAAAAAUCAAAUCAAUAUUUGGUGUGACCACCCUUUGCCUUCAAAACAGCAUCAAUUAUUCUACAUACACUUGCACAGUUUUUUGUUUUUUUUAAAUCAUUUUAUUAACCAUUGAGAGGGAAGGUUUAUAAUGUGUGAUGUCAUGCCCAACUUAAGCAAUAAAGGUUUACAUUCAUCCAA